rnacentral:tRNA from 1 species
GCUUAAAUAGUUUAAUUAAAAAUUCUAAUUUGUGGAUUUAGGGAUACAGUAUUUUGUUUUAGGUA